rnacentral:misc_RNA from 1 species
AAAGUCGUAACAAGGUAACCGUAGGUGAACCUGCGGUUGGAUCAUUAAUAAGAUUCAUUGGACCCUUUAGGUCCGUGAACAACCUUGUGUGAUAUGUUUUUCUGUUUCUCGUGGUUCGAGUGCCCAGUUCUUGUGAUGAGAAUUGCGCCUGGAUCUGGCUUUGAUAGGGUCAAACCUGUCGGCCGGAUUCCUGGUCCACGGAAAGGUUUGUAGAGCAUUGUUGAUUCCUUCUCCUUGUUCGGGCAGUAAAAUGUCCCUGCGAGUUUUAGAUUCGCAAUCCUCCAAACCUUGAAAUAACCUUAUGUUUUUAUAUGUUUUGUCUUAUCAUUUUUCACAUUUUGAAUGUGUAAAUUUAAAACAACUUUUGACAACGGAUCUCUUGGCUCUC